rnacentral:lncRNA from 1 species
CUAACAGCAUUUUGCAUUCUUUUUGGACUGUUAUCCCUGGGUAAAAAAUUAUACUUUACACCAUUAGUGUACACACACGUUGGUGUAUGGUGUGUAUAUGUGCAUUAAAAUAAGUUUUCACUGAACGAAAUUUACUUUUAUUCCGUGGGAUAGGCACUGAUACUUUUCAUUAUUCCUUUUUAAAAAAUCUGUUAUGUCUCACAGCCUGACACUCUCAUACGGUGUUCCACAACUCAUAGUACCCCACACCAUGCUGACACUGUCCUCUUGUCUACUUAAAUGCCCCAAUACUCAAAUCUACCCUGUGCACACAGGACUCAACUUCUUAGGUGAUCUUUUCUCCUUGUCCCAUCUGGGCAUAGGUGAAGAAGGCCUCAACAACUGAGUCAUCAAUCGGUGAGGUGUCUUUAAAUUCUAACCCUGGCUGGA